GAUGAACGCUGGCGGCGUGCCUAAUACAUGCAAGUCGAGCGAAUGGAUUAAGAGCUUGCUCUUAUGAAGUUAGCGGCGGACGGGUGAGUAACACGUGGGUAACCUGCCCAUAAGACUGGGAUAACUCCGGGAAACCGGGGCUAAUACCGGAUAACAUGCUGAACCGCAUGGUUCGAAAGUGAAAGGCGGCUUCGGCUUUCAUUUAUGUAUGGACCCGCGUCGCAUUAGCUAGUUGGUGAGGUAACGGCGCACCAAGGCAACGAUGCGUAGCCGACCUGAGAGGGUGAUCGGCCACACUGGGACUGAGACACGGCCCAGACUCCUACGGGAGGCAGCAGUAGGGAAUCGUCCGCAAUGGACGAAAGUCUGACGGAGCAACGCCGCGUGAGUGAUGAAGGCUUUCGGGUCGUAAAACUCUGUUGUUAGGGAAAAACAAGUGCUAGUUGAAUAAGCUGACACCUUGACGGUACCUAACCAGAAAGCCACGGCUAACUACGUGCCAGCCGCCGCCGUAA
rnacentral:rRNA from 1 species